rnacentral:rRNA from 1 species
AGAGCGAACGCUGGCGGCAGGCCUAACACAUGCAAGUCGAGCGCCCGUAGCAAUACGGGAGCGGCAGACGGGAGAGUAACACGUGGGAACGCGCCCUUCGGUUCGGAAUAACUCAGGGAAACUUGAGCUAAUACCGGAUACGCCCUUACGGGGAAAGAUUUAUUGCCGAAGGAACGGCCCGCGUCCGAUUAGCUAGUUGGUGAGGUAAUGGCUCACCAAGGCGACGAUCGGUAGCUGGUCUGAGAGGAUGACCAGCCUCACUGGGACUGAGACACGGCCCAGACUCCUACGGGAGGCAGCAGUGGGGAAUAUUGGACAAUGGGCGCAAGCCUGAUCCAGCCAUGCCGCGUGAGUGAUGAAGGCCUUAGGGUUGUAAAGCUCUUUUAGCAGGGAAGAUAAUGACGGUACCUGCAGAAAAGCCCGGCUAACUUCGCGCCAGCAGCCGC